rnacentral:rRNA from 1 species
AUUAAAAACCAAUGCCCUUCGGGGCUCUCUGGUGAUUCAUAAUAACUUCUCGAAUCGCACGGCCUUGCGCCGGCGAUGGUUCAUUCAAAUUUCUGCCCUAUCAACUUUCGACGGCUGGGUCUUGGCCAGCCGUGGUGACAACGGGUAACGGAGGGUUAGGGCUCGACCCCGGAGAAGGAGCCUGAGAAACGGCUACUACAUCCAAGGAAGGCAGCAGGCGCGCAAAUUACCCAAUCCCGACACGGGGAGGUAGUGACAAUAAAUACUGAUACAGGGCUCUUUCGGGUCUUGUAAUUGGAAUGAGUACAAUUUAAAUCCCUUAACGAGGAACAAUUGGAGGGCAAGUCUGGUGCCAGCAGCCGCGGUAAUUCCAGCUCCAAUAGCGUAUAUUAAAGUUGUUGCAGUUAAAAAGCUCGUAGUUGAACUUCGAACCUGGUUGGGUGGUCUGCCUUCACGGUACGUACUGCCUGGCCGGGUCCUACCUCUUGCUGAGCCGGCAUGCCCUUCACUGGA